rnacentral:rRNA from 1 species
UACGAAGGGUGCAAGCGUUAAUCGGAAUUACUGGGCGUAAAGCGUGCGCAGGCGGCUAUGCAAGACAGAUGUGAAAUCCCCGGGCUCAACCUGGGAACUGCAUUUGUGACUGCAUGGCUAGAGUACGGUAGAGGGGGAUGGAAUUCCGCGUGUAGCAGUGAAAUGCGUAGAUAUGCGGAGGAACACCGGUGGCGAAGGCAAUCCCCUGGACCUGUACUGACGCUCAUGCACGAAAGCGUGGGGAGCAAACAGG